AAGUCAGUUUUAAUGUCACUAUUACUUUAACGUUUUCUUGUAUUGCUUUUAUUUGGUUGUAAGCAUAGGACAAAGAGUGGUAAUAUCUGGGGAUGGAGUUAAAAGAGGAAGCAGCCUAGAAUCCCUACGUAGCAUCAAGCAGAGUCUGCUUGUGAUUAUGUAGGGAUUCUAAGCUUGUCCCUCUUUUUAACUCCGCCCGCAGAUAUUGCCACUUUCUUACACUUACAACCAAAUAAAAGCAACACAAGAAAACCUGAAAAUAAUAUUAACAUUAAAAUUUAAUAUUAAUUUUAAAACAGACUUAAAAAAGGACUACACAGGGAUUCUAAGCUGAUCCCUUUUUUAAAAUUCUGCCUCCAGGUUCUGCCACUCCUUUUCCUAUGGGUAAGCCACCUAGAAUUGUCUCUGAGAAAAAUGGAGAAAAGCAUACAAAUUUAAUAAAUAAACGAAGACUUUAGACCUGUCAAGUACAUCAACUGUUUUUUUUUAGCUGACAAGCUUUUAGGUGAUUAAUGAGUCAGAUGGAAAAGUUGGGAACCUUACUCCUAAAAGAAUCCAGUGUAUUUCCUAAGCCACCAAGUUUACACACGUAAGGAAUUAUUACCACCUCACCAUCGAGUACUCCAGGACUGUGUUCAAUGACCUGCUAAGCUGAAUUGCUCAAUUCAUCUCUUCCUCUGGGUUUGUAAUACCAUAUGUUGAGCCAUAAAUUAAGUAGGUCAAGUGGGCUUGCAUAACCUACUAAACCACAAUAAAAUAAAAUAUCCAAGCUUUAAAUUAUCCCAUCUUACCCUAUUAUGCAAUAGGUGUGUGCAAAUCUCAUCGUUUCAAAGGCAGAAUAUUCUGUUCUUUUCCAGAACAGUCUGUUUUCCUCCUGCUCUGGUCUGCCUGGGGGAACUUCUUUUCUGGAAGGAAUUGUUUUGGAACAGGAAAUAAAUCUGAAAUGAUAGCUUUGCCCUUCCUUAUAAAAUGCACCUGUUAGAUCGUUUACUGAUCCAUUUGAAAGAUUCUGUGUGGACUCCCUUAAUAUGUGUCAUUCUGACCUUUAACCCUCCUGGAUGAAACAAUUUGUAAACCAGUUUAAAGCUUUCUCACAUUUGGACCUGAUAUUGUUGUAGCAAAUUAUAUUUAAUUCUGUUGCAAGAUGGUAACCUGGAGGAAGUUUUCAAUCUGAGUAGUCUUUCUUUCCUGGAAUAAGCACCUGCAUAAAAUAAGCGGCUAAAUCAAUAAACAAAGUCACUAGGCCUCCCGGAAAUUGAAAUUUUUAAUAAUUGUAUUAUUAUAGUUCCCAGUCCUUUUUCCUUUAGUUCCAAAAAACCAAACCACAAAGACUCAGCGUAAUUUAUCUCUGAAUUACCAAUUUACCAAAGAAAUGGCUGAACUAUGGUCUUCCUGCUUCCCCACAGUUAAUCACAACUGAGAGAACCAGACUACCAGACUACCAGUCAAACUGGUUGUACUGAGGUCUAUUUGAUUCAUAUUAAAUAGGAUAUCAGAACUUUCAGUACAUGAACUGGAACAACAACAGAACAACGCUGAAUUCAAUUAGCCUGAUUUAGCGGACAGAUUAAUUUAUAUAAUCCCAGAGGCCUCAGCCACAGAUUUAGCAGAUGGCUUGGGUCACCUGACCAAAUUCCAGCUGUCAUUUAAUAAAGAUCAGAACUAAACAGCUGGGAUACAGCUGGGAAAGUCCUAUGGUUAAAACAGGUAAACAAAUAUACACAAAUUUGAAGUUGCAGGACACCUCACUCCCCCCAAAAAUAAUAACUGCCUAGUGAUCCCAGCUAACAAAACACAGCAGUCAGCCAACCAAAAUUAGGAAGUAUAAAAAGAGUGUUAUAAAGGCAGAAAUCCUAUAUCCCAACUUGUCCCAGCUUGGGACAUUCUAAAGGUGUUCAGGCCUCAUAAUGCCGAAUCUCAGCUCCAGAAAAACAACACGGGUGUUGAAGUAACAAACAGUUAGAGGGGAACCGACAAACACACGGCAGCGCUUGGGGAAAGGUCCUGUAAAUUAAACGAGGAUGACUUUUGCUUAUCCUCUGCUUGCCAUAUAUAAAGCUGUGCUCAAAACAGCUCUUCUUCCACUUGAUGAACUCUGCUGAAUAAUUGAUCAAAUACUACAGGGACCCAAUGCAGCACUGAACGAGGAGAACUCAGAGGAAAGGGAAUUACGUGGCAUUAUCCAGGGACACC